rnacentral:rRNA from 1 species
UACGGAGGGAGCUAGCGUUGUUCGGAAUUACUGGGCGUAAAGCGCGCGUAGGCGGUUUUUUAAGUCAGAGGUGAAAGCCCAGUGCUCAACACUGGAACUGCCUUUGAAACUGGAAAACUUGAAUCUUGGAGAGGUCAGUGGAAUUCCGAGUGUAGAGGUGAAAUUCGUAGAUAUUCGGAAGAACACCAGUGGCGAAGGCGACUCACUGGACAGGUAUUGACGCUGAGGUGCGAAAGCGUGGGGAGCAAACAGG